UACAGAGGGGGCAAGCGUUGUUCGGAAUUACUGGGCGUAAAGGGCGCGUAGGCGGCCUUCUAAGUCGAACGUGAAAUCCCCGGGCUCAACCCGGGAACUGCGUCCGAUACUGGAAGGCUUGAAUCCGGGAGAGGGAUGCGGAAUUCCAGGUGUAGCGGUGAAAUGCGUAGAUAUCUGGAGGAACACCGGUGGCGAAGGCGGCAUCCUGGACCGGCAUUGACGCUGAGGCGCGAAAGCCAGGGGAGCAAAGCGGGAUUAAGAUG
rnacentral:rRNA from 1 species